rnacentral:rRNA from 1 species
AAGACCUUGCGCUUUUGGAGCGGCCGAUGCCUGAUUAGCUUGUUGGUAAGGUAAAAGCUUACCAAGGCUUCGAUCAGUAGCUGGUCUGAGAGGACGACCAGCCACACUGGGACUGAGACACGGCCCAGACUCCUACGGGAGGCAGCAGUGGGGAAUUUUGGACAAUGGGGGCAACCCUGAUCCAGCCAUGCCGCGUGAGUGGAGAAGGCCUUCGGGUUGUAAAGCUCUUUCAGCCGGAACGAAACGGUUACGGUUAAUACCCGUGAUUACUGACGGUACCGGAAGAAGAAGCACCGGCUAACUACGUGCCAGCAGCCGCGGUAAUACGUAGGGCGCGAGCGUUAAUCGGAAUUACUGGGCGUAAAGCGUGCGCAGGUGGUUUUGUAAGUCAGAUGUGAAAUCCCCGGGCUUAACCUGGGAACU